UGAGGAAUAUUGGUCAAUGGGAGAGAUCCUGAACCAGCCAAGCCGCGUGAGGGAAGACGGCCCUAUGGGUUGUAAACUUCUUUUAUAUGGGAAUAAAGUUUUCCACGUGUGGAAUUUUGUAUGUACCUUAUGAAUAAGGAUCGGCUAACUCCGUGCCAGCAGCCGCGGUAAUACGGAGGAUCCGAGCGUUAUCCGGAUUUAUUGGGUUUAAAGGGAGCGUAGGCGGGUUGUUAAGUCAGUUGUGAAAGUUUGCGGCUCAACCGUAAAAUUGCAGUUGAUACUGGCAUCCUUGAGUACAGUAGAGGUAGGCGGAAUUCGUGGUGUAGCGGUGAAAUGCUUAGAUAUCACGAAGAACUCCGAUUGCGAAGGCAGCCUGCUGGACUGUAACUGACGCUGAUGCUCGAAAGUGUGGGUAUCAAACAGG
rnacentral:rRNA from 1 species